CAGCCGCCGCGGGAAUACGAGGGGGGCAAGCGUUGUUCGGAAUUAUUGGGCGUAAAGGGUGCGUAGGCGGUUUGGCAAGUUUGGUGUGAAAUCUUCGGGCUCAACUCGAAGUCUGCAUCGAAAACUGCCGGGCUUGAGUAUGGGAGAGGUGAGUGGAAUUUCCGGUGUAGCGGUGAAAUGCGUAGAUAUCGGAAGGAACACCUGUGGCGAAAGCGGCUCACUGGACCAUAACUGACGCUGAUGCACGAAAGCUAGGGGAGCAAACAGGAUUAGAUACCCGAGUAGUCCCUGUCUCUUAUAA
rnacentral:rRNA from 1 species